UAGUGAACCUGCGGAAGGAUCAUU
rnacentral:rRNA from 1 species